AUUGAACGCUGGCGGCAUGCCUUACACAUGCAAGUCGAACGGCAGCACGGGUGCUUGCACCUGGUGGCGAGUGGCGAACGGGUGAGUAAUACAUCGGAACAUGUCCUGUAGUGGGGGAUAGCCCGGCGAAAGCCGGAUUAAUACCGCAUACGAUCUACGGAUGAAAGCGGGGGACCUUCGGGCUCGCGCUCUAGGGGUGGCCGAUGGCUGAUUAGCUUGUUGGUGGGGUAAAGGGCUACCAAGGCGACGAUCAGUAGCUGGUCUGAGAGGACGACCCGCCACACUGGGACUGAGACACGGCCCAGACUCCUACGGGAGGCAGCAGUGGGGAAUUUUGGACAAUGGGCGAAAGCCUGAUCCAGCAAUGCCGCGUGUGUGAAGAAGGCCUUCGGGUUGUAAAGCACUUUUGUCCGGAAAGAAAUCCUUGGCCCUAAUACGGUCGGGGGAUGACGGUACCGGAAGAAUAAGCACCGGCUAACUACGUG
rnacentral:rRNA from 1 species